UACAGGGGGGGCAAGCGUUGUUCGGAAUUACUGGGCGUAAAGGGCUCGUAGGCGGCCAACUAAGUCCGACGUGAAAUCCCAAAGCUUAACUUUGGAACUGCGUCGGAUACUGGAUGACUUGAAUUCGGGAGAGGGAUGCAGAAUUCCAGGUGUAGCGGUGAAAUGCGUAGAUAUCUGGAGGAAUACCGGUGGCGAAGGCGGCAUCCUGGACCGACAUUGACGCUGAGGAGCGAAAGCUAGGGGAGCAAACGGG
rnacentral:rRNA from 1 species